rnacentral:rRNA from 1 species
UACGUAGGGUGCAAGCGUUAAUCGGAAUUACUGGGCGUAAAGCGUGCGCAGGCGGUUUUGUAAGCCAGAUGUGAAAUCCCCGGGCUUAACCUGGGAAUGGCAUUUGGGACUGCAAGGCUGGAGUGUGGCAGAGGAGACUGGAAUUCCUGGUGUAGCAGUGAAAUGCGUAGAUAUCAGGAGGAAUACCGAUGGCGAAGGCAGGUCUCUGGGACGGUACUGACGCUGAGACGCGAAAGCGUGGGGAGCGAACAGG